GGAUAGUAAGGGCACCAACUAGCUAAAAAUGAGAAACAGUAAAUCAUCAUGGGGAACCAUCAACAUCUGGUAACUUACUUAAAUACUCAUGUGUAUUGGUCAUUGUCACAAAGGAUUAGAAAUCAGAAUCUCUAGUUGGAAGUUCAGGAUUUCUUACCUACCAGCUACGUAACUUUGACAAGUCAUUUGCAACAGCUGAUAUUGGGAUAAAUGGGAAAAGGGCAGUGUUGCUGCAAAGAUCAAGUAGAUAAAGUAUGAAAAGUGCUCUGACCUACACAGAUACAAAGUGAGCUUGUCGGCACUGGGGAGCUAAUCAGGAAAAGGACUGAUGGAAAGAGGAAGAGAGAACAUCUCUGUGGCAAAUCCCUCGUGACUGAGGACCGCAUAUCUGAUGAGUAAGCUUGGAUUUUGAAGACUUCAACAACUUGGCUGCAAGUUGAUGGGAGAAUUGACAUUCUAACCCAGCUCAGUUUGAAGCCUAUAGUCCACUCCACUCCACUCUACCAGCAAAGAACAUAGCCUUGCAAAACAGAGAACAGAAAACAGAAAUGCUUUUUCUUCACUCCCUGUUGGGAGGAUUCUGGAAUAGAGCUGU
rnacentral:lncRNA from 1 species